GGUGAAGCUAGAGCUUGCUCUAGUGGAAACUGGCGGACGGGUGAGUAACGCGUAGGGAUGUGCCUAUGGGUACGGAGUAACCGUUGGAAACGACGGCUAAUACCGUAUACGCCCUAAGGGGGAAAGCUCCGGCGCCCAUAGAGCAACCUGCGUCCGAUUAGCUUGUUGGUGAGGUAACGGCUCACCAAGGCUUCGAUCGGUAGCUGGUCUGAGAGGAUGGUCAGCCACACUGGGACUGAGACACGGCCCAGACUCCUACGGGAGGCAGCAGUGGGGAAUAUUGGACAAUGGGGGCAACCCUGAUCCAGCCAUGCCGCGUGAGUGAAGAAGGCCUUAGGGUUGUAAAGCUCUUUCAGCAGGGAAGAUGAUGACGGUACCUGCAGAAGAAGCCCCGGCUAACUCCGUGCCAGCAGCCGCGGUAAU
rnacentral:rRNA from 1 species